GCUUUUAUUAGGUUGGUGCAAAAGUGAUUGCAGUUUUUAUAGUUACAUUUAAUGGCAAAAACUGCAAUUACUUUUGCACCAACCUAAGUAUUUU
rnacentral:miRNA from 1 species